UACGAAGGGGGGCUAGCGUUGUUCGGAAUUACUGGGCGUAAAGCGCACGUAGGCGGGUUUGUAAGUAGAGGGUGAAAUCCCAGGGCUCAACCCUGGAACUGCCUCCUAAACUGCAAGCCUGGAGGUCAGGAGAGGCGAGUGGAAUACCGAGUGUAGAGGUGAAAUUCGUAGAUAUUCGGUGGAACACCAGUGGCGAAGGCGACUCGCUGGACUGAUACUGACGCUGAGGUGCGAAAGCGUGGGGAGCAAACGGG
rnacentral:rRNA from 1 species